UGAUAGCGAUGAAGCGUGAGGUUGCAACCCAGCUUGCUGUGGUUGGUUUUCCGUGGAGCGAAUGUCAAGUUAGGAAACUGACGACAA
rnacentral:ncRNA from 1 species